rnacentral:lncRNA from 1 species
AGCUGCCCUCUUGCCGUGUUCAUGCUUUGGUAGAACACCUUCAGAGCCUUGGCAAGCUCUCGGUCAGAGCCGGCUUGCUGUGUGCACAUUUGGCUCAUCUCCCCGGCGGAUGGCAGUUGCGCAGUCAUCCCGCUGAUCUUCAGAGUGUUGGAAGGCUUCGGGGCUGAGGUGGAAAAAGGAUGUGGCCUUCACCUGUGACCAUGAGGCCCAGCUGAGAGCAGCUCAGCUCGGUGCAGCCUUCUGUAAUGGGGAGAGACACAGUCAAAGAAAGAAACAUCCCAGUCGCCCAGCUCCAGUGUCAGCUUCAUGCAGUAGGCCAGCGACUGGAGCCAGAUGUGAGCUGAGCCCAAGCGGACGACCUCGACAGGAUCCCAGAAAGGGUCGUCAUCUCGAGCCACAGGGCCGUGAUCUCCAUCUAGAAAGCGCUGGUAAAGUUCCUGCAUUAGGAAUUUCCUAUUGAUGAACUUGGCUUUUGACCAUAUCCACACCUGGAAACACAGAGGAAAGCAGAGAGACACAGUGUGAAAUCGCUGCUCUCAGAUCAGCACACGGGAGAGGCCAGCAGUCAGGAGGGGGCUCACCGAGUUUGUCUGCA